UACGGAGGGGACUAGCGUUGUUCGGAAUUACUGGGCGUAAAGAGUACGUAGGCGGCUUUGCAAGUUGGGUGUGAAAGCCCGGGGCUCAACCCCGGAACUGCACUCAAAACUGUGAGGCUAGAGAUCGGAAGAGGUAAGUGGAAUUCCCAGUGUAGAGGUGAAAUUCGUAGAUAUUGGGAAGAACACCGGGUGGCGAAGGCGACUUACUGGUCCGAUACUGACGCUGAGGUACGAAAGCGUGGGGAGCAAA
rnacentral:rRNA from 1 species